UGAAUAUUUUACUGUUAGAUGCUGUAUAGAAAUAUUUCUACAAUCUCUGGGUUUUCUUUGGCCUAAACCAGCACACAUAGUGGUCUAGUAACAAUACAAUACGAUUAAGCUUGUAGUUAUUGUCAGUCUAUAUUUUGGUCUUUUUUAAUGACAUUUGUUCAUAUGAUACCAGACAUAGUACUUGGAAAGUACUUGUACGUUUUAAACUUAUCAUGGUUGUAAUAAUCAACAGUUUUAUAGAGAGAAAAAUGAAUUAAACUUGUUUAACUCCUG
rnacentral:misc_RNA from 1 species